GAUGAACGCUAGCGGCAGGCUUAACACAUGCAAGUCGAGGGGCAGCAUAAAAGUAGCAAUACUUUGGUGGCGACCGGCGCACGGGUGAGUAACGCGUAUGCAACCUACCUAUCAGAGGGGAAUAACCCGGCGAAAGUCGGACUAAUACCGCAUAAAACAGGGGCACCGCAUGGUGAUAUUUGUUAAAGAAAUUCGCUGAUAGAUGGGCAUGCGUUCCAUUAGGUAGUUGGUGAGGUAACGGCUCACCAAGCCGACGAUGGAUAGGGGAACUGAGAGGUUGGUCCCCCACACUGGUAAUGAGACACGGACCAGACUCCUACGGGAGGCAGCAGUGAGGAAUAUUGGUCAAUGGGCGAGAGCCUGAACCAGCCAAGUCGCGUGAAGGAAGAAGGAUCUAUGGUUCGUAAACUUCUUUUGCAGGGGAAUAAAGUGCAGGACGUGUCCUGUUUUGUAUGUACCCUGAGAAUAAGGAUCGGCUAACUCCGUGCCAGCAGCCGCGGUAAAAC
rnacentral:rRNA from 1 species